rnacentral:lncRNA from 1 species
AAAUCAAACUCUGGAAUUUGACAGACAACAAAAACCAAAUGCUCAAAUUUUUUAUGUGAUGAUGUAUGAAGGAUCCUUUUAUGUUUUCAAAAUAUCUCUUGGAGAGAUAUCAUUGAUGGUGUAAAUAAUAUUUACUUUGAGCCUGUGAUGCUAGAAUAUUAAAUUUUGUUAGUAAAUCUUCCCUUGUGGUCCCAUCAGGUGAAAAUUGUCGAGGAUUUCACUGUACGUGCAGAAUUGCUAAAUUAUUACAACCAGUGGCAGUGUUUUCUGAUCACUGGAAAUAAAUGUGUGUGUGUGUGUGUGUGUGUGUGUGUGUGUGUGUGUGUGUGUGUAGUGAUUCAUAUUACUGAGAUUCCCUGGGCUUUUUCAGUUAAAAUUAAAUGAACCAUUGUUAUAGGAUUUUUUUCUAUGUAAUUUUAACUAAAGCUUAGUUAUUUCAAAAAAAAGAUUUAAGAACUGACCCCAAUUCUUCUUUUGUUGAUUAAUAACAGUGUCUUUGGACAUUUAGACUGUAAUUUUGGAAGGCUGCACCUCAAGUGGGAAUGUUUCUUGAUGUUAGAUAUGAAGCCGACUUCUCGAGUCCAGGGAAUCAAUGACUAUCAUCAGCACCAGUUAUGUUAGCAUUGACUUAAGACAUCUUGGAAAUAUGCUUUGCCUAAGUAUCUGAGAAUUUUUCCAAAUAAAAUACCAUCUUUCCAUCUGUCAAAUAAAUUUUGUUCGAAUUUUAUUCCUUUUGUGUAAUUAUAGUACUGCCAUUUAAGCCACCAAAAAUAUCUUACAUGUUACCUGCUGAGGACCAGAAAAGUUCUCCUCUGCUAUACAGUGUCAGUGUUCUCCAUCAUUUAUUCUGACAUAUUAGACCUAUCUAAUUCACUGCGCUUUGUAUGUAUAGAAGGAUGCUCUUGAUGUCACUGAUGCUCAUGUGCUUUCAUGUGGUGAUAGACUGAUGAGGGUCAGCAGUUCCUUACUCAUUGCAUGUUCUGGAAAGUUAGCUGCUGGCUUGGUCACUGUCCACAGUUCUGCUUAUUUACUCUCCAGAAUUUGUGGCCCCACAGUUCAGACUGCACACUUUUUUGCCCGCCCUUCCCAUCCCCACAUGGAAGCUGGUUAGCAGGCAUUAUGUUAUCUGUCAUUGGUACAUUUCCAACCCUGCAGAGCUGAUGCUACUCUAAACCUGGCUUCAGUGCUGAUAGAGUGGCUACGUUCCAGCUCACCACUCAUGACUCAGACUUUCCAACUGAUGCAUAGAGGGUGUUGAGGAAACUGUUUAAGAAGCUACUUAUUGUAGCUAUAACCAGUCUGUAUCCCAGCUAUACUGGCCCUUAAACAUGGUCCUCUCUAUUCUCUGUAACAUUCAGCUGACUCUACACAUUGACUUAAUGUUGAUACCAUACUGGAUGGAGUUUAUUUCUGACCAUUACUCUUAAGUAGAAAAUGUGUAAGCUGGAUCAUGUGCAUUGCCUCAGUGUCACAUACACCAAGGAAUGGAUACUUCUUUGGGCAUUUUUCUUCUCCUGCAGCAGUUGUCAGCACAUCAGUUGUCAACAAACUGACAGAGAGCUGAAGAUUCUUGCUGUCCCUAGUCAUUAAAUUUGCUCCAACUAAGUAAGAAACCUCCAAUGAGCAUAGUACCAGGUCCCUGGAGGAAGACAUAUAGGACAAAUAAAAGACAAAGUCCCUGACAUUGAGGAAUUUGUUAUUUACUGUCACAGUCACAAUAGUCUUGCAAAAGUGAUUUCAAACAUUUAAAAUCCAUAUUUUAUAUUGCACAUGUACACCAAGGCCAAAAGUACCAAGGAAAGAAACAGGAGAAAUGAACAAAUAAUAUGUGAUAAGUUUCAUUUGUAAAGAUUUUUUUUUAGAGAAAUUGAAUGGCAAUCCAGGUUUAUAAGGAAACAGGACUGGUUCAGAGAAAGAAAACAAGAAUUUAAGAAGGAGGUAACCACAUGGGAAAAAGUAGAAGUGGUUGUGAGAAACUAGGUCACCUUGUAGAGAAUAGCACGCAGAUUUGGCUGGGAUGAGGAACGCUGACAGGAGAAGCUGAAACUGAGAUUUCCAAGAUGGUAGAGCAAGAUAGAGACAAUUGACAGGAGGCCUGGAACUCCACGCACAGGCUGGUGUUGAAUCUAAUGACUCAACACCACACAAUUCAAGGCAGGGGACAGCUCCAUUAUUUUGUUUUACAUUUUCUAGAUGUUGUGGAGAUAUUUAUUUACCUGAUCUUUAUAAGCUGGAGCCAGUUCUUUUUCAUGGACCUUGGAUAACAGUCAAGUUCCAAUCAGGAGAGAAAAACCACACAGUAGCUUGAACAGGAAAGUUGAAUAUAAAGCAUUAUUCUUCAUAUCAGAGGAUUGGAGCAAUAAGAGACUGACUAGUAAAAAAAGUAAAGGACUCUAAAGAAGAUAAGAAGAUCAGUUAUAAGGAGUAGCUACUGUCCUUAGAGCUUAGACAGAGUGUCCAAGGAAAAACCUCCCCAUCCCUCACCUUUGCCUGAGGAUUAAAAUCCAGACAUUGUAGGAGAGAGGAGAGCUGUGGCUCAUAAAUGGCAGAGAAGUCUUGGGGGUACCGUGAUGAUGGAACUUGCUGGGAAUCUGCCCUUGGUGCCAGAAAAAGCUGUUCACAAGGAGAUGUCUAUCUCCCACAGUAUCUCUACAACACCUUUUACUGACAAAAUUCAACAUCAUACUAGCUGAUACUAGUUGACCGUGUGUAUAUCUAUAUCUAUAUAGAUAUAUAGAUAUUUAAAAGGUCUAAUUCAAACUCAAUUUUUGCAGCACAAGCAAUGAGGUAUGAAUUUGCAGCUGAGUAAUAAAUUGAUAACUGGAAUACCUGACCUCUCAUUUCCUGAGAGUUUACCGGUGCCCACUUUCAUUUUUAAAAUAUAAAACCAUAUUGAGGAGUUCCCAUUGUAGCUUGGCAGGUUGAGAACCCAACUAGCAUCCAUGAGGAUGUGGGUUCAAUCCCUGGCCUCACUCAGUAGCUUAAGGAUCUGGUGUUGCCAUAAGCUGUGGUAUUGGUCACAGAGACGGCCCAGAUCUGGCAUUGCUGUGGCUGUGGCUGGCAGCUGCAGCUCUGAUUCAACCCCUAGCCUGGGAACUUCCAUAUGCCACAGGUGAAGCCCUUAAAAAAUAAAAUGAAAUAUAAAACCAUGUUGAAUACACUUUUUAAACUAGUCAUCUGUGUUUCACCUACCCACCCAACUCCACCUCCUCCAGAGUUCCUGAUUAGUACUUGGAGGGAAUAUGACCCAUGGCUGGAAAUCAGUUUUACAUUCAAUAGAACUAUUGACCAGCUCUAGAUGCUAAUGAUGGAAGAAGAAUGGAUUUAUCAGUUCUUAUGAAAAAGAUCUGGCAUUGGGCAGUUAUUUUUCUCUAAGGACACUAAAGGCCCACAAUUUGGUAUGGUCCCUAAAAAAAAAAAUACAAUCUUAGGAUGCAUUAGUGGGAUUCAGAACAAGGGAUAUAUUGGCUCAAUUGUUUAUCUGCAGAACCAUGGUCUAAACACUGCAUUCGAUUCUAGGGACUCCCUUUUAAAGAAGGACAGUGAAGAAUUAUGGCACUUGCAAAACAGUAUGAUGAAGAAGCUAAGAAUGGUGGGAGGACCUGGGGAUGUUAGCCUAAGAAAAAGAAGGCAGAAACAAGACUUGGUUACAACCUGUAUAAGUGCCUUCAUAUUGGAAAAUGAUUUAAACUUAUUCAUUGUCAUCCCAGAGGGCAGAAGAGGAACCAUAAGGAAUAAGUUAUGGGAAGGAACUUGAGAUCCAGUCUGAGAAGGACUGUCUCAAUAUAAGCGUUGCUUAGGAAAAGCUGGGGCUGCUUGGGGAAAUAAUAAGUCAUCUCUCUUUGGACUGAGGUAGGACAAAUUUACUUGGGUUUCCUUCUUUCUCUGGUCUUUUAUGAGAUUCUAUGAACAGGCUAAGGUAGUCCUGCUUAUUAUCCCAAUAUUGCUUCAAAGAGACAAAGCUCAAACCUCAUAUUUAACCCAUCCUCUAGGUAAUUUUUACCUAAUGAGGUCAUACCUCUUUUAGGAAGAAAACAAUGAGGAAACCACUAAAAUCAGCUUUUCAUAUAGGGGCAGCAGUAAAUCUUGCAAUCAUGUCAAUCCUAGAGGCACAAAUAAUUGAAUUCCUCUAUGUAAUUAAGGACCAUUACUAAUACCACUAUUUGAAUGUGCUCUUCAGGAUGUAGACAUUAUUAUUAUAAUAAAAAGAAAGGAUUUGAUGGUUCAUUUUAAGCUCAUGUGAAUUCUUAGCUUAAGGAUUAUUAUAAUGCUAUAAUGUGAAGCAAUUUCUAAUAUAUAGCUAUUGCAAAAUAACCUAAUUACAUUUUAAGAGGUGAACAAUGACUGUUUUAUAAAUAUUUUCUAAGAAACUUGACUUAGUCCCUCUAGUUUUCUAUGCAGAUAACCCUUUUAAAUGAAGUCAGAGUUAUAUGCAAUUCAGGGUACCAGAUUAGAUGUUAAAUGUCAAAGGUAUAGAUGUGAAAGCUAUGAAUAUUAUGUCAGUAAUGGUAUAGUCUCAAUAAUGCUUUGAGCCCUUCAGUAUAGGCAUUUCUUGAAAAGUAAAAAGGGUGAUUAUAAUGAUGAUGGUGAUGAUGAUGGCAAUAAUAAUAAUGAAGUCUAAAGACAAGUUUGAGUGCUGAGAGAGGUUUCUGAAACUUUCCUAGCCCUGGCCAAUCUUCUCUUUUGGUUGUCUGCAAGUUAACUCAAUUUCUCAAUGUCCAAAAUUCUCUGGAAGACAUCCAUCAAUCCUGAAUGCUAGUUAAACAUUCGGAAGCAUAAUUUAGUGACCUGUCUUCCAUUCUAAAUCCACGAUUAUAUCCAAUAAAUAUAACCUUCUAGGGAAAGAAUAUUCAUUUGUUCUGCCACCCAUACCUGAGUACCUACUUUGUGACAGGCAUUUUAUUUCAAGCGGCUGGGAAAACCACUGGUAAACAGCAAGCAACUAUAACUUAGGACUGAACAAGUCUAUUCAUGGCCUCCCUAUUGAGUGGUGACUGUAAGUGGCCUGCAGUACCUCCAUCCCCAUCAGACUGGCUGAAUGUUACAGCCAUAAUGAAGCAGGAAUAAUUUUGUUUCUAGUAUCUCCAUUUUUUAGAGCUCCCUUCCUGACACUUGAUAUUAGGUGGAACGGCCUCAUGUUGAUUACAUUUUGGCAGUACAGAAUCACUUUUCCAACAUGCACAGUUUGUUAUCGUGUUACAUAAUUACAUUAGUGGAAACUAAUUUAUCUUUUUAAUCUGUCCUAGAUAUAAACUUUCUCACUUGGGAAAAAUUUGCCAUCUGUAUACUUUCAUUUUUUUAAAAAAAUAUUUCAUCUUUAUUAAAGUAACUGUUAAAGUCGCCUCCAUGAAGCUGCUUUAUUUCACUAUGGGUAGCCUCUUUUUGUUCCUCAUUCUCCACCCAUUUCUCUGACACGAACUUUGUGGGUUCCAUCCACUUGUGACACCCAGCAGCUGGUGCUGGAUAUAAAGACCACUUUGGUGGUCAAUUCCCCCUUCCUAAAAGCAGGAGUUCCCAUUGUGGUGCAGUGGAAACAAAUCUGACUAGAAACCAUGAGGUUUCGAGUUUGAUCCCUGACCUCCCUCGCUCACUGGGUUAAGGAUCCGGUGUUGCCAUGAGCUGUGGUGUAGGUAGCAGAAGUGGCUCAGAUCUGAUGUGGCUGUGGUAUAGUCCAGAAGCUGUAGCUCCAAUUCAACCGCUGGCCUGGGAACCUCCAUAUGCACAUCCCGCCCCAAAAAGCAAAAAAAAAAAAAAAAAAA